UCAUGAUAACUAUCUCACACAUCAGGUUGUUUGUAAUGCAAACAAGCUUGCAAAGCUCGUUAAGAAGAAACGAAAGAAGCAAAACUGGCUCGACUACUACCAGAUUAAAUACUCAAAAAACCCAUCAAAACGACCUAUGAUGAAGACUGGAUUUCUUGGACUUUGGGGAGCGUAAGUUGAUGCUAUCGAGCAUCAUGAAACCGAAAUCAAGA